rnacentral:rRNA from 1 species
GACGAACGCUGGCGGCGUGCUUAACACAUGCAAGUCGAACGGAAAGGCCCUGCUUUUGUGGGGUGCUCGAGUGGCGAACGGGUGAGUAACACGUGAGUAACCUGCCCUUGACUUUGGGAUAACUUCAGGAAACUGGGGCUAAUACCGGAUAGGAGCUCCUGCUGCAUGGUGGGGGUUGGAAAGUUUCGGCGGUUGGGGAUGGACUCGCGGCUUAUCAGCUUGUUGGUGGGGUAGUGGCUUACCAAGGCUUUGACGGGUAGCCGGCCUGGGAGGGUGACCGGCCACAUUGGGACUGAGAGAGGGCCCAGACUCCUACGGGAGGCAGCAGUGGGGAAUAUUGCACAAUGGGCGGAAGCCUGAUGCAGCAACGCCGCGUGCGGGAUGACGGCCUUCGGGUUGUAAACCGCUUUCGCCUGUGACGAAGCGUGAGUGACGGUAAUGGGUAAAGAAGCACCGGCUAACUACGUG